rnacentral:rRNA from 1 species
GACGAACGCUGGCGGCGUGCUUAACACAUGCAAGUCGAACGAAGUGGGAACGGGUGAGUAAUACGUGGGUAACCUCCCUCCUUUUUGGGAUAAGCCUUGGAAACGGGGUCUAAACCGAAUAGAUGGGCUCGCGGCCUAUCAGCUUGUUGGGGGGGUGAUGGCCUACCACGGCGGUGACGGGUAGCCGGCCUGGGAGGGUGACCGGCCAAAUUGGGACUGAGAUCACGCCCAGACUCCUACGGGAUGCAGCAGUGGGGAAUCUUCGGAAAUGGACGAAAGUCUGACGGAGCAACGCCGCGUGAGUGAUGACGGCCUUCGGGUUGUAAAGGUCUGUUAAGCGGGACGCGGUACCGGAAUAGAAAGCCACGGCUAACUACGUGCCAGCAGCCGCGGUAAUUC